GCCCGGAUAGUCUAGUGGUUUAUGAUUCUCGCUUGUUAGUUUUUCCGCUCAUGGGCCUACCAUGCACAUAUAUUAACCUUCUUUAGUGGGUUGCUUUGUACCUGAAUUGCGAGAGGUCCCGCGUUCGACUCGCGGUUCGGGCC